CCUACGGGAGGCAGCAGUGAGGAAUAUUGGUCAAUGGGCGAGAUCCUGAACCAGCCAAGCAGCGUGAAGGAUGACUGCCCUAUGGGUUGUAAACCUCUUUUAUCAAGGAACAAAGCCCGGCACGUGUGCCUUCCUGCGUGUAUCCUAUGAAUAAGGAUCGGCUAACUCCGUGCCAGCAGCCGCGGUAAUACGGAGGAUUCGAGCGUUAUCCGGAUUUAUUGGGUUUAAAGGGUGCGUAGGCGGUCGGUUAAGUCAGCGGUAAAAGUGCGGGGCUCAACCACGUCGAGCCGUUGAAACUGGCAGAGUUGAGUGGGCGAGAAGUACGAGGAAUGCGCGGUGUAGCGGUGAAAUGCAUAGAGAUCGCGCAGAACUCCGAUUGCGAAGGCAGCGGACCGGAGACAGACUGACGCUGAGGAACGAAAGCGUGGGGAUCGAACAGGAUUAGAUACCCGGGUAGUC
rnacentral:rRNA from 1 species